rnacentral:rRNA from 1 species
GUAGGUGGCAAGCGUUGUCCGGAAUUAUUGGGCGUAAAGCGCGCGCAGGCGGUUCUUUAAGUCUGAUGUGAGAGCCCACGGCUCAACCGUGGAGGGUCAUUGGAAACUGGAGAACUUGAGUACAGAAGAGGAAAGCGGAAUUCCACGUGUAGCGGUGAAAUGCGUAGAGAUGUGGAGGAACACCAGUGGCGAAGGCGGCUUUCUGGUCUGUAACUGACGCUGAGGCGCGAAAGCGUGGGGAGCAAACAGGGAUUAGAUACCCUGGUAGUCCACGCCGUAAACGAUGAGUGCUAAGUGUUAGGGGGUUUCCGCCCCCUUAGUGCUGCAGCUAGCGCAUUAAGCACUCCGCCUGGGAGUACGGCCGCAAGGCUG